rnacentral:rRNA from 1 species
UACGUAGGGGGCAAGCGUUGUCCGGAAUCAUUGGGCGUAAAGCGCGUGUAGGCGGCCAGAAAAGUCCGCUGUGAAAACUCGAGGCUCAACUUCGAGCUGUCGGUGGAAACUUUCUGGCUAGAGUCCGGAAGAGGAGAAUGGAAUUCCUGGUGUAGCGGUGAAAUGCGCAGAUAUCAGGAGGAACACCGAUGGCGAAGGCAGUGGUCUGGGCCGGCACUGACGCUGAAUAGCGAAAGCGUGGGUAGCGAACAGG